GACAGCAGACUUGCAAAUCGACUCCCUCACCCGUUGAGGUGAUGUAUGAGGACGGCGCCCGCCGACUCGCCCGCGACGAAGACCCAGCCCGGGUCGGCGAGCUCGGACAGCAUGGGGCAGAGGAGGACCGCAGCCGCGUCGUCGAUGGCGGCCAGCGGGUGUGCUCCGGCCUCUGGUGCUUCCCACCGCCAUGACGCUGCCAUCUGUUCACGUCUCCUCGUCGGCGUCGCGUGGGGCCACAGUCCAGCGAGGACGCGGCCGCUGCCGGCCUCCCCGGCAGGCCGCCGGCGCCACCCCCGCUACACGGCCGCCUCCCACUCCGGCAUCCCAGGUCUGCCCUGUUCAAAUCCACGGAUUUUCCCAUUUGCAUCUCAUUCAUCCCAUGUCUGCACCGUUCAAAAUUCUUGUCGCCGCAUGGGAUCUAGGAAAAAAUUGCUUCUUUUGCAAUUGGCGUUUUGGUUAGUAGGAAUCAAGGAUGAUAAUACUACUGCUCCCUAUCCUGAACCAUUGUCUGACCAAUUGGAUAAAUCCAUUGUUGGGGGCGGUCUUCAGUUAUUCGAGUUUUCAGACCACAACAACCUCUCCAUGUUUUCCUUUGCAAUUUGACCAUGAUAAAAGUGCCGGACUUGAAGUGCCUGGCACAUUUCCACCAUCACAUUUCGAUUCUGCAUCAGUCAAGGACACAGUUCGAAUGCUUGCAUGGUAGAGCUGAUGAGUUCAGGCAAUAUGGCUACAAUGCAGUCCCAAUGCAAUCUGAUUCUGUCAACAGUAACACUUCCAGAGAAACUUACGAAUAUGGAGGCGGAAUAGCCCAUGUUUUUUCUCAGAGGCUGAUGCUACCAGGUUCAGGGGAAUGCGAUUGGAUGAUUUGGACGAACAAUAUGUUAAUGUCAACCUAGAUGAUGAUGACUUCUCUCGUGCUGAGCAUCCUCACCAAGCUGACGCCUUGAAUAUCACCCUGGUUGAUAAUUUUGAGUCUGGGCUUGAAGAAACUGAUGUGUUCAAUCAUUUGGAGAGUACAAAAUGCCCCUGGUUGCUCUGAUAUCUUACUCGGGAAAGUCACCCUCAGAAUUAUAUUAUCCUAAGCCACUUAUGCAGCUGUGGAAGGAAUGCACUGAAGUCAACUCUGCAAAUGCCUCAUCUUCAGGCCAGCCAUCUUCAUCACAAGAACAUCCGAGUAACUCGCCACCUCAUGAAUUUCCACCUCAGCAUGAAGGAGAAUAUGAGAUGGAAACAGGAGCUCACCCAAUGGACUUUACUGAUGGCCUCGAAAAACUCAGAGGAAACAUGAGUGCAGAGUUUGACAGAGCUUAUGAUACUCUGCUUAGUGACCAUAGUGUUACUCAUGGAACUCCUGGUAAGUGAAUUAAAACACUCGUCGCACUGGCACAAUUUGUAAUGUUAUGCUAGCUUUGUUGGCUUACAGACCAUUCGUAGUUUCUUUAAUUAGUUUGGCUUUACACUUUGGACGCUAUGCAAUGUGCUUUCCUUGGGGUUACAUCAUGGUUACUCAGCUGAUAUUGCUAGAAAAUGUAGCAUCCUUAAUUUGAAUCUAUACAUUAUUCCGCAGCUUUCUCAGAAUGGUGGCAAAUAAUAGUUCUGAUAAGUUUCACUGUCUGACGCUCCCGGCCAGAUAACUUGGGUUUACUGAGUUUGCUUGAAAUGUUUUACGCUAGAGGAAUGUCUAAUGGGAAGUUUAUCGGACCACUCAUUGAGUUUUAGUGUAUUGCUAGAAUGGAGCAUAUUAUUUACUGAGGAACGCGUGUUCUACAGUUUUGGCAACUUUUUAUUACAUAAAGGUUACACAGCUGGAACCAUACGGGGACAUCUCGAUCUCCAGGGGGGCAAAGAUGUGAAUGUGAAUAUCGGGAACAGUAUUGCUGCUGAGGUUCUUGCAGUGCACACAUCCGUGUUGAUAUUAUAAUUUAUACAGCGAUUACAUUUUGCACAGGAGGUCUGUUAGGUCAUAUUAUUGUUGCUGCCUAGGUAUGUGAGGCUUUGAUACAGAUUGAGAUUUUUAAGUAUGCUUCUUUGUCCCUUUUUCAUUUGCCUCAUUGCUGAUUGCAUUUAUGUGAAGCUUAAUUGACAUUUCAUAGCUUAAUUGUAGUUAUGAUUAUCCAUAUAGCAGGAGAAAAACUCUAUUUACAUUUCUCAAUUUUGGAUCACAUUAUCCUUGAAGGUGAACUCUGUUGUAAAUGCAAUACAGUGAAAAACUAAAUUAAAGAAUUUGUGAUUGAUCAUUUGUGCAUAGGAGCCUGUAAAUGGUUGUCCUGCAAAAGCUUCGUUAAACUAAAAGAUUCCUCCCGGUUCCAAUGAUGACUGCUGGUGAGCCCUUUUUCUUUUCUCCUUAACACAGUAAAUUCGUAUGUCUACUCCUAAAAGUCUGUAAGGGUGAGUCUUAUAUCAGUCUGCUCGCCUCCCUAGCGAUAGUCAUUCCAGUCACCGAUUUAUAUAUACUUCUAGAUGCAUUUUUUUUUCAUUUGCAAAGCAAAUAAGUGUACAUAUGCUCACUCUCCUUUCCAUCCAAUGCAGGUACAUUUCUGCUCUCUAUUUUUUUUAUAUUUCUCAAGGUAUGCUUCCAGUUUAGCUCACCAAAUACUACCUGUCGAGACCCCCCAGCGAAAGGCAUCGAUGGCUUAGUGAGCGGCGCUGCUCCUCCCCAGGUCUUAGUCGGGCCCUUCGCCGGUGACAAGCAUUCACCAGUUACAUGCAUAUGCCACAACUUCGGUGUUUUAAAAAGGCAGUGACAGUGAUAAUGAAAAGGUUGGAUCUGGCUUUCGUGCAGGAAAAGGCAGCAGACUUCGCACCAAGUAGUGGUUUCAUAAAGUGCAGAUUUUCGUGUGCAUUGAUAUUUGAAUCUUGCAUUCAUCAAUAUCGAAAUUUGUAGUGUUUUAUUCUUAUGUCGUUCUGGUACAUGCCCCAAAUGUCAACAAAAUAUAUUUAUAAUUUCCAUGUGUUUUGCUGCAUGUACAUCUUUUUUUCUUUUGAGUAUUUGUCUAAAUCAAAAGUUAGAAUA